rnacentral:piRNA from 1 species
UGAGAGCUGAUCGAUUUGAAU